rnacentral:rRNA from 1 species
CUAGAUGACGCUGGCGGCGUGCUUAACACAUGCAAGUCGAACGAUGAUCUCCAGCUUGCUGGGGGGAUUAGUGGCGAACGGGUGAGUAACACGUGAGUAACCUGCCCUUGACUCUGGGAUAAGCCUGGGAAACUGGGUCUAAUACCGGAUACGACCGUCCCGCGCAUGCGGUGGUGGUGGAAAGCUUUUGCGGUUUUGGAUGGACUCGCGGCCUAUCAGCUUGUUGGUGGGGUAAUGGCCUACCAAGGCGACGACGGGUAGCCGGCCUGAGAGGGUGACCGGCCACACUGGGACUGAGACACGGCCCAGACUCCUACGGGAGGCAGCAGUGGGGAAUAUUGCACAAUGGGCGAAAGCCUGAUGCAGCGACGCCGCGUGAGGGAUGACGGCCUUCGGGUUGUAAACCUCUUUCAGUAGGGAAGAAGCGAAAGUGACGGUACCUGCAGAAGAAGCGCCGGCUAACUACGUGCCAGCAGCCGCGGUAAUACGUAGGGCGCAAGCGUUAUCCGGAAUUAUUGGGCGUAAAGAGCUCGUAGGCGGUUUGUCGCGUCUGCUGUGAAAGACCGGGGCUCAACUCCGGUUCUGCAGUGGGUACGGGCAGACUAGAGUGAUGUAGGGGAGACUGGAAUUCCUGGUGUAGCGGUGAAAUGCGCAGAUAUCAGGAGGAACACCGAUGGCGAAGGCAGGUCUCUGGGCAUUAACUGACGCUGAGGAGCGAAAGCAUGGGGAGCGAACAGGAUUAGAUACCCUGGUAGUCCAUGCCGUAAACGUUGGGCACUAGGUGUGGGGGACAUUCCACGUUUUCCGCGCCGUAGCUAACGCAUUAAGUGCCCCGCCUGGAGA